UGAAUCUCUGGUUCCCAUAUGAUCACCAAAGUUAAGCAACAUCAAGCCUGGUUAGUACCUAGGUGCUAGAUUGCUUGGGAAUACCAGGUGCUGUAA
rnacentral:rRNA from 1 species